UGUGUGAGUGCAUCUGUUACCUAAUGCACUUUUGAUGGCGCUAAAUAGGCUAGCCUAUAACUUGGGUGACAUUGAAGCUGUGUUACGUUGCACAGCAGUAUAUACGCACCUCUCUACCCAUCACCCCAUGCAGCGGAUAUUUGGGAGAAUUUCCCAGCGCAGCCCAGCUUCCAUCACCACCACGGCCUCUGGUUCUUGCAAAUGCACCAACUCUAUACAAAUUAUCGGGCGCAUGGAUGUGUCUGUGAGAGACGGAUUAACUUUCCAACGCCCGGGCGGGCGGCCGGCAGACGAACCUUGCUUAAAACUGACCCUGGAUUGGUUAAUGUGAACACCCACGGAGGGUAUGGAUGGUGUACAGUGAUACCAGUGAGGAUGAAGCUACCAUUUCAUCCCUGAUUUUACAUACUACACCGGCUGAAGGCCCAGUGCAAGAAGUUGAUGGCACCAGCCCAGGAUUUGGUUGGACCCAAAUCAUGAGUAACCGUCUUGUAAAGUAAUUCACAGUUCUUUAUUAUUUAUUAUACUUCUUAGACUACUAAGGGAUUCAAACAAUGUUUUAUCUAACACUUCCAAGCAGGAAUGCAUGAUUCAAGAUAUUAUGAUGUUCAGGCUAAUCCAGUGACGGUCAUGGAAUUUUGGAUUGACAAUUGGACUGUAGUUUAGAGCUGGGCGAUAUGGCAAACAAUCCAUAUCGCGAUAAAUGGAAAAUGUUUUUGUGAUAAUGAUAAAUCAGGGAUAAAUUAAUAAAUAUUUUUUGGGGGAUGUGCUAGAGCUGGGUGAUAUGGGCAAAAUGUUAUUUUGUGACAAACUAUUUUGCUCGAUAGCAAAAAAUACAACAAUGUAUUUUUUUUUAUGGACAGCUACUUUAAAGCAGGUCUUUAGACAUUUUUUCCCAGUGCCAAGUAAGAUACCUGCUAUGGUAGCCUAUGAUUGAAAAAGUAAGCUAUUUCAUCUAACAUUUCCAGGAAAUGAAUUAUUGAUAUUUUGAUAUGUAACCUGUCAAAAUAGGAUCCAGAAUGAUCCAAUUUAUUUCAGACUCUUCAGAGAAUUUGCCGACAUCUUUGUGCAUAUUGGCCUAUUGGCUACAUUAUUCACCACCUGAGGAGGUGGGAACUCAAAACACUUUGCUGGAUUGCUAAAUCUAAAUAUGAUAUUGUUGCUAUACACUGAGGGUACAAGACUGAGGGCUAUUUCCAUGACAGACUGACCAGGUGAAUCCAGGUGAAAGCUAUGAUCCAUUAUUGAUGUCACUUGUUAAGUACACUUCAAUCAGUGCAGAUUAAGGGGAUGAGACAGGUUAAUGAAGGACUUUUAAGCCUUGAGACAAUUGAGACAUGGAUUGUGUAUGUGUGCCAUUCAGAGGGUGAAUGGGCAAUACAUAAUAUAUAAGUGCCUUUGAACGGGGUAUGGUAGUAGGUGCCAGGUGCACCGAUUUGAUUGUGUCAAGAACUGUAACGCAGCUGGGUUUUUCACACUAUUAAGAAUGGUCCACCAUUCAAAGGACAUUAAGCCAACUUGACACAACUGCGGGAAGCAUUGGAGUCAACCUGGUAGAGUCCAUGCCUCAAUGAAUUGAGGCUGUUCUAAGGGAAAAAGGGGG
ensembl:lncRNA